UUAGUAGAACAGGGUUUUGCCAUUUUGCUCAUGCUGGUCUCGAAGUGCGGCCUCAAACAAUCCGCCCACCUCAGCCUCCCAAAAUGCUGGCGUGAGCCACUGGGCCCGGCCAGGUUUGGUUUUUCCAUCUUUACUUAAUUAAGACUACCAGCUGUUUCUACCUCCCGUAUGGAAGAUGCUGGGAAUUGGGAGAUGAGAGCAGAAGCUCCGUGGGUCUACAAGAUAAAAAUACCAUAAAAAGGCUGGGCACAGUGGCUCACACCUGUAAUCCCAGCACUUUGGGAGGCCGAGGUGGGCGGAUCACGAGGUCAGGAGAUCAAGACCAUGCUGGCUAAUAUGGUGAAACCCCGUCUCUACUAAAAAUACAAAAAAAUUAACCGGGUAUGGUGGUGGGCACCUGUAGUCCCAGCUACUCGGGAGGCU
rnacentral:lncRNA from 10 species